UUAAAAUCUCAUUAUAAAUAAGUUUUUUCUACUAUUUUAUUUGGUUAAAAUGUUUACAAUUUUUUGAGUCUUCUUCUCCUCCAUCAGUUGGAACAAUGAUACCUUCUGUUGAAUCAGAAACCUGCUAUCAAAUACAUCCAGAAAUAUUGUGUGAUCAAGGACAAGUUCAGCCAAAAUGUUUACCAUUUUGCAAGCAAAAGUUUGGACCCAAUGCUGGUGGCCAAUGCAUUGACCAGAUUGGAUUUGAUGGCCCUUUUUGUGCUUGUGAUUACCCUUGCUAGUCACCCCUUUAUAUCUCAUUUAUAUCUUAAUAAGCAUUAAUUAUUUCUACAUGUCACUUUACCUAUCCAUCUUGAUGUGAUCAUGUGGUAUCAAUCUCAAAAUACUUUAUAUUUUUAGAUUUGGUUAAUGCUAAUUCUAUCAUUAAGAAACUUUUGCUUCUUUUAUUCA